UACGUAGGGUGCAAGCGUUAAUCGGAAUUACUGGGCGUAAAGCGUGCGCAGGCGGUUAUGUAAGACAGUUGUGAAAUCCCCGGGCUCAACCUGGGAACUGCAUCUGUGACUGCAUAGCUAGAGUACGGUAGAGGGGGGAUGGAAUUCCGCGUGUAGCAGUGAAAAUGCGUAGAUAUGCGGAGGGAAACACCGAUGGCGAAGGCAAUCCCCCU
rnacentral:rRNA from 1 species